UCCUCCAUAAAUGGCUCCAUGCUUUUGAGU
rnacentral:piRNA from 1 species